GUUCUUGGGCAUACUGUCCACAGGCCAAGGGCCACCCAGUGGACUGAGGUGGCUUGACAAGUAUCAGAAGAGGAUAUGAUCUGCCGAUGUCACGUCCUGGCCUUUCCUCAAUGUCACAGCAGCAAAAUCCUGCCAUAGGACUUCUGUGGUUGUCGUUGUUUGCAUUCCCCCUGCCUUUGGAUGGGAGAACCAUGCUAGGUGACAUGACAAAGAUGCUGAAAGUACUAGUCUGGCAAUGAGGACAAUUAAGACAGGGCGAGUGGGUUGAGUAACUAAUUUGAGUAGUUGCUUGGCCCCUUGAUCUCAUCCCCUCUUUGUCAGUAAAUGAAGACAACAUCCUUUGUCUUUUGUGUACCUCAACUGAUUUUUUUUUCUAAAGCAGAAUAUUCGGGGCCCAGUUUGCAGAGCAUGGAAGGACCAAGGUGCUGAAACAUAGACUACGGGCAGGUGAAAUGGAGACUCUGCUUUGUGCUGAAAACUACCCUUGGCACACACACAAAAAACAAGAUAAGUCUUUAAUAUGAGAAAGCAGCCAAGGAGAAUGACAUGGGAACAAAAUGGAAAUUACAAAGUAAGUGGUAGAAAAACAAAAGAAAACAAAAUCUGGAAUGCGACCUUAACCUAAUGACCCUCACUGGAAGAAAGUCAGAAGGAAACGGCGUGUUUCGGUGGACGUGGAGAAUUCAGGGGAUCUCUAAAAUAGAGGCAGCCGGCUUUGGGAGUGGCCUCCACGAGUCCUGCAAAAGAAGCCAGAGGAAUCAGUCAAGGGGUCCCAGUGACAAUAAUUCCACAGGUGCCCCGCAACUGUGCAGAAGAGAACGCCAAGGAAGACUAACCAGGCCAACGGCAUCAAUGCAAGGAACCCAAGGAAGAGAAAAAUCAGCCCCUGAAAUAUCAAUGCUGACCCGAUUUCAAGGCAGGUUGGUAGUAAAAAUGUUGGAUGACACCCGGGGGAAGCAGCAUCUCUAUUCAAGUGAGCCGGGAUGACAUCAGUGAAUGUUUUUAAAAUCUGGAGAAAAAAUAAUUAAAUAUUUAAGAACCAGAUCAUAUUUACGUGUGGAUUGAUUCUAGUUCGUAAAAUGUAUAUUUAAUUGCUUUUAAAGGUUGGUGUGAUUUGAACCAAUGUAGGUUUUUGUUCUAAGUGACUUGGGAGAACAGAAGAAUGAACGUCAAGGCUGCUUCAAGCUCGCUGUGAUUUGGGGAGAG
rnacentral:lncRNA from 1 species